GACGAACGCUGGCGGCGUGCUUAACACAUGCAAGUCGAACGGAAAGGCCCCCUUGUGGGGUACUCUAGUGGCGAACGGGUUAGUAACACGGGAGUAACCUACCCUUGACUGUGUGAUAACUUCAGGAAACUGGGGCUAAUACCUGAUAGGAGCUCCUUCUGCAUGGUGGGGGUUGGAAAGUUUCGGCGGUUGGGGAUGGACUCGCGGCUUAUCAGCUUGUUGGUGGGGUAGUGGCUCACCAAGGCUUUGACGGGUAGCCGGCCUGAGAGGGUGACCGGCCACAUUGGGACUGAGAUACGGCCCAGACUCCUACGGGAGGCAGCAGUGGGGAAUAUUGCACAAUGGGCGGAAGCCUGAUGCAGCAACGCCGCGUGCGGGAUGACGGCCUUCGGGUUGUAAACCGCUUUCGCCUGUGACGAAGCGUGAGUGACGGUAAUGGGUAAAGAAGCACCGGCUAACUACGUG
rnacentral:rRNA from 1 species